GCGCCCGUAGCUCAGUAGGAUAGAGCGAUUGCCUCCUAAGCAAUAGGCCGUGUGUUCGAUUCACGCCGGGCGCACCA
rnacentral:tRNA from 1 species